rnacentral:rRNA from 1 species
GACGAACGCUGGCGGCGUGCCUAACACAUGCAAGUCGAGCGAGUGAAUCUCCUUCGGGAGUGAAGCUAGCGGCGGACGGGUGAGUAACACGUGGGCAACCUGCCUCGUAGAGGGGAAUAGCCUUCCGAAAGGGAGAUUAAUACCGCAUAAGAUUGUAGCUUCGCAUGAAGUAGCAAUUAAAGGAGCAAUCCGCUAUGAGAUGGGCCCGCGGCGCAUUAGCUAGUUGGUGAGGUAAUGGCUCACCAAGGCGACGAUGCGUAGCCGACCUGAGAGGGUGAUCGGCCACAUUGGGACUGAGACACGGCCCAGACUCCUACGGGAGGCAGCAGUGGGGAAUAUUGCACAAUGGGGGAAACCCUGAUGCAGCAACGCCGCGUGAGUGAUGACGGCCUUCGGGUUGUAAAGCUCUGUCUUCAGGGACGAUAAUGACGGUACCUGAGGAGGAAGCCACGGC